CCCUUAGAUGCUCUGGGCCGCACGCGCGCUACACUGGUCGAUGCAACGAGUUUCUUUCCUUGGCCGACAGGCCUGGGCAAUCUUUGAACAUCGAUCGUGAUCGGGAUAGAUUCUUGUAAUUUUUGAUCUUAAACGAGGAAUUCCUAGUAAAUGCAAGUCAUCAGCUUGCAUUGAUUACGUCCCUGCCCUUUGUACACACCGCCCGUCGCACCUACCGAUUGAAUGGUCCGGUGAAAUCUCCGGACUGGCGUGAGUCGGAGCAAUCUGACAAACACCGGAAAGUUGAUUAAACCUUACCAUUUAGAGGAAGGUGAAGUCGUAACA
rnacentral:rRNA from 1 species